rnacentral:misc_RNA from 1 species
AAAAAAAAAAAAAAAGAGGAAAAACUGGAGUUAAUUGCAUUAUGUAGGUGGUAAGGAACUGGAUGUAGUAAACAGAGAAUUUGGAGAAUUUCUUUUAUAUUUCUUCAUACAAAAAUGAUUUACAAGAAUUCUAAAUUAUAUACAAAGGUUAGGACUAAAUAGGAAACUAAUAAUAGCUAAUAAAUACAAUGAUUUCUAAUUAUAUUCUAAUUUACAGCU